GGCCGGGGGAGGAGCGGGGCGUGAGGGAGCACCGGGAGGGAGAGACGUGAAGAGUCAUGGAAAAACACGGGCAGAUCCGUAGGGUGCAGUCCUGGGGCUGGAAGCAGCGGAGGGGCGGCCGCAGGACCACCUGUGGGACCCCGAGGGCAUCCCGCCCUCAGAGCUUCUGGUGCUGAGGGAAAAUUUUAAUUAAAAACUAAGAAUGAACCCGCCACAAGUAGUGGGGUGGGUCCCCGAAACGUCGGGCUCUGGGACUGUGAGCUGGUUUUGUGGGGAGUGUUUGGGCUGGUCUCCUUUGGCCUCGCUGUGGUUUAUGGAUUUAUAGGGGAAUAGCGAUGGGGAGUAGCUGGUUUGUGGAUUUAGAAUGGAAUAAGAAUGUCAAAUAGUUGGUUUGUGGAUUUAUAAGGGAAUAGGGAUGGGGAAUAGUUAGGUCAAGGAUUUAUAAGGGAAUAGGGAUGGGUGACAGUUAGUUUAUGGGUUUAUAGUGGAAAAGGGAUAAGGGAUGGAUGGUUUAUGGAUUAAUAGGGGAAUAGGGAUGGGGAAUGGUUGGUUCAUGGAUUUAUAGUGAAAUAGGGAUGAGGAAGGGUUGGUUCAUGGAUUUAUAGUGAAAUAGGGAUGAGGAAGGGUUGGUUCAUGGAUUUAUAGUGAAAUAGGGGUGAGGAAGGGUUGGUUCAUGGAUUUAUAAGGGAGUAGGGAUGGGGAAUGGUUGAUUUAUAGGGGAAUGGGGAUAGGGAAUGGUUGGUUUGUGGAUUUGUAUGGGCAUAAGGAUGGGGAACAGUUGGUUAAUGGAUCAGUUGGGAACUACGGGUAGGGAAUGGCUGACAGUGAUGAUCUUUUAGGCUAAAAAGGCUUUUCUGCUGUGCCUUCAUGAAGAAGUGGGUAAAUUCUGGUUAUUUACACAGCAGAAGUUGGGCUCAUCCCUCUAACAGCCAAGCCAUGCCCUCUGCUUUCCAUCUCCUGCCAGGGGCUUGGAAAUCUGAGGCUUGGGGAUGUGGUUGGGUCUUUCUGCAGUCCCACGACAAGAACAGUCAGGAGGAAAGGAUGGGAAUUUGGAAACAGGGCACCCCACUGCUCUUCUGGAUGGGGCUGAUGGAAACAGCUUCAUGCCUUGGGGCUGAGGGUCAGCCCUCAAAAUCCAUCCUAAAGCAGGAAAUGCGCACAAAAAGCUAAAUAGGUCAUCAUUCCCAUGGGUUUGGGAAUCAGAUCUUUGGCUGAGCCAUUUCUGAUAAUUUCAGCCUGAAAACCAAGGCUGAAGCACAUCCAGGGCACAUCCAGCAGUGGAUUUUCUCCUGUAUGGAAAGAGAGCUCAAAAUAGUGGUGUAAGUGAUGGAGUUUGCAGGCAGGGAUGCCUCAUAAGUUAAGUGGGGAAAGGUGUUUAUAGAACCAAAUAAAACUGCUAAAGAGACAUUGUAAUGGUUUUAAAAAAUCAUUGUUUUCCAUUAAAAAACUUGUAGAUGGCUGCAUUUCUUUUUUUUUUUCAUCACCUCGGGCCACAACACACCUGUUUUAUUGCCUGCAGCUACCAGAGCUGCAUUUGGCCACUUCUUAGGGGGUUUUAUUACUACCUUAUUUUUAUUUGCUUGAAAAUAUCCCCAUCCAGGAGCUCUGAGCACAAUGGAUUGAUCAGCUCCACUUUGCAGAGGAAUCAUUGUCUAAAUCUCCACUCACCUUUUGUGUCCCAAAGCUGCUGGGUUAACCCAGGAUGGAACAAAGUGUCAAAUUAAAAAAAGUGCCAAAAUAAAACAGUGUCUGCUGUCCUGCAGCUCAGAGGAGAAGCCUGGCCUGGCCAGCAGCCAGGGAAAAAAAAAUCUGGGAGUCCUGGAAAGUAAAAGGGAUGAGAAGAAAGUCCUUUUCCUGCUGCAGACAUCUGCCCUUAGCUCCCAGAACUUGACAUGAAUGGAGCCUGUGCUCACCUCAGCCUCGAGGGUGUUGAUUUAUGGAGGGGAAACUCUUCUGUUUAAUGCAUUGCCCAGAGUCCAGCCUGAAACAAUGGGAUAGCUGCAAUUCCGGAAUAUCCGGACCACACAGAGCACAUCAGAGGAGGUUUAGCAAUUCCUGGUGUGCAAGUGUUUGUGAUCAGAUAACACAAGGUGCUUAGAAAGAUGUUCAGGAGCUGAAACACUCAUAAAUCUCCUAAGGUUCUGAAAUCCUGCACGUCGAAACCACAGCUCUGUAACAUCAUUUAUUCCAAGAAGGAGAGAUAAACCCUUCUGUCAUUCAAGUGAUUAAAGCAGGAUUAAAUCACACA